CCCUAUUUCUUCUUAGUUUUCAUAGAAUGACACCGAGUUAGAGAGAAGAGAAGAGAAUGGCGACAAAACCUUAAGUUCUCCACCACCAGUUUUGCCGCCGUUGCAGUCGUUGGUUUCGCCGCCGUUUCUGCCACAAUUGUUGCAGGAAGCUUUUCAAUCGAGCCACCUCCUCUAUCAACAUUAUGGUUUCAGAUCUGUUUACUCUAUAGCUACAGUUGCCGCUGCAGUUUCUGCCGCCGUUGCCGCCAUCGUUGCUGCUAUAGUUGCCUCGUAGAAAGCUUCUGAAUCGAGCCACUGUUUCAGAUCUGUUUUCUUUUCUUCUUCAGUUUUUAUUUGUUUUCGUGUGGAGUGAUUCCUGUGGUUAAAGUUCUCUGACUCCACUUAGUUACUAGAUAAAAGCAAAGCAUUUAAUUUACUGAACUAUUUUAUUUAUGUAUCUUCCAUUUUGGUUCCUUACUCUCCAAAUUAGAUUUGACAGAAGCUGGUAACUGGAGUUAAAUUUUGGAGCUGAGCACUUUCUUUUCUUUUUGUUUUUACAUCUAUAUAUUUUCAGAAAUCAGGUUAGAAUACAUAACAUUCAAGAUAUGUUCACAUCAGAACAAAGUUAAAUAUUCACAUUUUUUAAAGUGAUAAUUGUAAUAUUUAAGUAUUUUUUAAUAAUUUGAAAGGUAUGAACAUUACAACUAACCUGUAAUUGUUUAUGCUUUCUUUGUAGCUUCAACAUGAAAACAUGUCCAUAGAUAUUAUAGAAGUGAUCUGAAAGGAAUAAAAAGUGAGUUGAAAAUAAUAUUUGAGAAGUUCUUAGUACUAUAACUGAAAUUUCCUUUCUUUCUCAGGUGAAAGCAGUAAUGGCAUCAAAGAGCUUAAUGCUAAAAACACAAUGUAGAAAGCAAAGGAAAAGAAUCUAAAGGGUUCCAGAGAGAAGUAACAAUUUUCACAGAGUCUUCAAUAACUUCUAUGACUUCAUCAUCUUGUUCAUCUAGCAUGUCAUCCCUCGAGUUCAACAGGACAAUUCAAACCGAAUCGCUAUCAACCAGUUGAAUCAAUGUUCUUGAAAACUCGAAUUCAGAACUAUCAUUGAAGCACCUUGACACCCCAACGUAGAAAUCCAUUGACUUCUAUGAUAUUGUCAAAGAGUCAAUUCAGAGAGAAUCUCAUGGAUUAUCUGUGAAGACUUUGCCUAAAGAGCAAAAGAAGGGUCUGAAUCACACCUUGAAAUACAUCGACUCGCCCCGGCCCUGCCUUUUCCAAAAUCUGUCAAUGCAGGAGUUAUGAUCUCCAAUGAAGCAUUCCAUAAUCUUGUUAAGUCUAAGAAAGCGCCUUGGGACUCGCCCCGGCUGUCUUAUGAUGGAAGAGACACAUAAGUUAGAUUUAAAACUGCGACAAAGCAUAAGGAACUUCCAAGGCUUUCCUUGGACAAAAAUUUUACUGGAAUCGUUAACCUUGAUAUCUUUUAAUUACUCACUAGUUAAUAAUUGGCAAUAAUAGUACAAUGAGAAGAUAAUUGAGUUCCUAUUCAAUAUUCAUAGUUAUGUUUGAUAGUCUUGUCAAAUUAUUCUUCUGUGGAAAGGAAGAAAGGAAGGAGUAAGUUGGAAUUUUUUACAUGUGAUGGCAGGUUUUGAGUACAACAUCGAUGAUCUGUACCAGGAAGCUAAGAGAAGAUGGCUGAAGCUAGUGGAAAUGCUAUACAUUUUGCGGAAUCAUGACCAGUUCAAGUUCACCAAUAUUCCCCCUCAAAAGCCAACAAAAGAAUCAUGCAGUUCUUCCAUAAAGACGGUUAUAAUUGGCGGAAGAAAAGCGAUCGAAGAAUUGUGGGAGAAGCACAUGAACGGCUUAAGAUUGGAAACGUUGAAAUACUAAAUUGUUACUAUGCACAUAGAGAGGAGAAUCGUAGUUUCCAGAAGAGGAGCUACUGGAUACUGGAUCCCUGUAAACUGGGAGAAGUGGGAACGUAGUUAUUUUUAUGUGAAGCAGGUGUUAAGCACAAACCUAAAAAACUACAGCUCAAUUUUCCAAGGCUGAGAUUGGUUCUAUUAGUUCAGACAGUAAGAUUCUAUAGGAGAAGUCUAUGGAUAGGGUUUGCACCUAAAGAAUCACAAGAGUUUCUUUCCAGCUAUGACUAAGAUUGUCGGCACACCCGAUCCAAAGUCUCGUUCAAUCGACACAAUUUCACGUUGCCUUGACGCAGGAAUUUCUGUUUCAAGGUUUGAUUUGUCGUGCGAAAAUCCGAAUACCACCAAGAGACAUUGGAAAACUUGAGGGCUGCUAUCAGACAUUUGGAAAAUUUAUUCCAGAAUACCUUCAUGUGAUACCACCAUGUAUCCCAAUCUUUAGACUAUCAUUUUUUCCAACGUUUGAUGACAUAAAAUUUGUUUAUAUAUAGAGUUAUGUCUUAUAUAUUGAGAAAUUGUGUUAUAAAAGAUUUAAUUUUUAAA